ACGCCUCCGUGGAACAAGGGGAGCAUCAAAUCCUUUGGAAUAAAUCCUGAGGGGUUUAUUGGGCUCUCCUGGGAUUAAAAGGCCCGGCCCUGAGAUGCUCUGGAUUAUAAUGCAGUUUAUUAAUUUAAGGAUCUGCAGUUUAUUAAUCCUUAAUGUCAGUAAGGAUGGAAUUCCAGCACAGCAGGGAUGGGACUGGGAUGAGAGCGCUGGGAAGAAAGGGUUGUCCUGGGGAAAACUGGGGGGAAAAACCCCUAUUUUUAAAAUUUAUAAGUUUAUAGACUUCAGUUUUAACACUUGUGUUUCUUGGCAGGUGGUUUUGAAAAGAUCUCAAGUACUGUGAUGCCAAGUGGUCGUUAUUACAAAGGCCUGUAAUGUAAAAAAAGCCCUUUUUUCACCAGCUAAAAACACCUCAGGGAGGUGUCAUCCUGGAAAUUGAAGAAUUAUCCUGGAAAUUUAAGAAUUAUUCUGGAAAUUGAAGAAUUUCUUGAAGGUGCCAGAAUUGAAGUGCAAUGGGAAAUGCAAAUCCAGCCUUGAUUUCAGGUGUUCAGCUGUGGCUGCAUAAAGUGUUCCCAAAACAAGGCAUGGAGAUGUCACUUGGAGAAGGGAAGGAAAGGGAGGAGAAGAUUUUGACAUUUCUCCAGUGAUCUGGAAUGGAAAAGGUCCUUGGAAAUGAAGGUGAUGAGGGACAUUAAAAGAUAACAUCAAUAUAUGAAAGCCAGGAAAUGGAACUCGCUGUUUCACUAAGCACCAAAAAGCCAAUAAACCUCUUAAAACGUA